CAAAUGCUGAUCUAAAACUUCUGAAGUAACAUUUUUUGCACCUCUGUAGAGAAGACCUGUGCACAAAACAAACCUUGCUCAGUGCACAGGGAGUGCUG